AGAGUUUGAUCAUGGCUCAGGACGAACGCUGGCGGCGUGCUUAACACAUGCAAGUCGAGCGGUAAGGCCCUUUCGGGGUACACGAGCGGCGAACGGGUGAGUAACACGUGGGUGAUCUGCCUUGCACUCUGGGAUAAGCCUGGGAAACUGGGUCUAAUACCGGAUAUGACCUUCGGCUUCCUGGUCGUUGGUGGAAAGAUUUAUCGGUGCAAGAUGAGCCCGCGGCCUAUCAGCUUGUUGGUGGGGUAAUGGCCUACCAAGGCGACGACGGGUAGCCGGCCUGAGAGGGCGACCGGCCACACUGGGACUGAGACACGGCCCAGACUCCUACGGGAGGCAGCAGUGGGGAAUAUUGCACAAUGGGCGGAAGCCUGAUGCAGCGACGCCGCGUGAGGGAUGACGGCCUUCGGGUUGUAAACCUCUUUCGACUCCGACGAAGCGAGAGUGACGGUAGGAGUAUAAGAAGCACCGGCCAACUACGUGCCAGCAGCCGCGGUAAUACGUAGGGUGCGAGCGUUGUCCGGAAUUACUGGGCGUAAAGAGCUUGUAGGCGGCUUGUCGCGUCGAUCGUGAAGACUCGGGGCUCAACCCCGAGCUUGCGGUCGAUACGGGCAGGCUUGAGUACUUCAGGGGAGACUGGAAUUCCUGGUGUAGCGGUGAAAUGCGCAGAUAUCAGGAGGAACACCGGUGGCGAAGGCGGGUCUCUGGGAAGUAACUGACGCUGAGAAGCGAAAGCGUGGGUAGCGAACAGGAUUAGAUACCCUGAUAGUCCACGCCGUAAACGGUGGGUACUAGGUGUGGGUUUCCUUCCACGGGAUCCGUGCCGUAGCUAACGCAUUAAGUACCCCGCCUGGGGAGUACGGCCGCAAGGCUAAAACUCAAAUGAAUUGACGG
rnacentral:rRNA from 1 species